AUGGACUCGGGCGCCACUGCUCACAUGACUGCUCAUCCCGGUAACCUCACAUCUGCCACUCCCGUUCAUACUCCCACCCGUAUCACCGUUCGUAACGGUUCCUCCCUACCCAUUACUCAUGUCGGUCAUAUAUCUUUUCCUUCUACUUCCACUCCUGUGCAUAUGUCUAAUGUUCUUAGGUCUCCUGACUUAGUCACUAAUCUUGUUUCCGUUCGUCGCCUUGCUCGUGAGAAUCCUAUAACUGUUGAAUUUGACGAUAUCGGUUUUUCUGUGACGGACGCCCGUACACGGAUGGUGCUCCACCGAUGUGAUUGCCCGGACGAGCUUUAUCCAGUGCAUCCCUCCGACGCCACCACCACCCGUCGCCCCGCCGCCUUCACCGCCAGUGUCGAUCUUUGGCAUGCCCGUCUCGUUCAUCCCAACUCCACCAUUAUGCAUCAGAUUCUUCAGAGUUUUUCCUUCUCAUGUAAUAAGGUCGACGAUCACACUUGUGAGGCUUGCCGUCUUGGCAAGCACGUUCGUCUUCCCUUUAGCAACUCUACAAACAUUUCCACCUUUCUGUUUCAGUUAUUGCAUAGUGAUGUUUGGACGUCCCCAGUUGCUAGCAACACGGGCUAUUUAUACUAUUUGGUGAUAUUGGAUGAUUUUACUCAUUAUGUGUGGACAUUCCCUCUCCGUCGCAAGUCCGACGUUCUUGACACACUCACCGCUUUUUAUUCAUAUGUCACCACACAGUUCGGUCGUCCCAUUCUCGCCUUGCAAACUGACAACGGCAUGGAGUUUGAGAACGUUGCCGUCCGCAAUUUACUUGCGUCCCACGGCACCAUCUUUCGCCUCACCUGCCCCUACACGUCUCAGCAGAAUGGUCGCGCCGAGCGCGUCCUUCGCACGCUUAAUGACUGUGUCCGCAUGUUGCUCUUCCACUCCUACGUGCCUGCUCGGUUUUGGCCGGACGCGCUCGCGACCGCCAGCCUCCUCAUUAACAUUCGCCCAUGUCGUUCCCGCUAG
rnacentral:rRNA from 1 species